CGCGAUACUACAGGGAAAAUACCACAUUACCUUAGUAGGAACUUUCUUCUUGCUGGACUGCCCCUCAACAUCACCAGGGUCAUCUUGUUUGAUCUUAUAACGCAGCGCAUCGUACACAGGACAAGCCUCCAAUUUCUCAUAUUCCGCACCGCGAUAAAGGACACAGUCAUUAGGGCAUGCAUGUAUCUUUUGUACCUCAAAACCUAGAGGGCAAACAACCUUUUUAUCUUGGUACGUUGAGGAUGGCAAUUUGUUCCCCUCGGGAAGCAUGUUCUUUAUGAUUUUCAAUAACUCAUCAAAACCAUUAUCAAAAACUCCAUUUGUUUCCUUUCAUUGUAGCAUUUUCAGUGUGGUGCCCAACUUUUUGUGCCCCUUGUUUACAAUCUGGGUAUAACAAUUUCUUAUGAUCAUCUAACAUACACUUGAACUUCUUUGACUCCUUCACAAUCUCACAGUCUUCCUUCGCAUCUCGCAACACCUGACCUAGGUCAUCAGUAGGACCUUCUUCUAACACCAUCUCUUCUUCAACCUCGCCCAUUGCAGCAUCUGCAAAGGCACCUCCUUGAGUCCAGUCAAGAAUGUAGUUAUCAUCUUCUUCUUCAUCAUCAUCUUCCAUCAUAACUCCUCUUUCC
rnacentral:lncRNA from 1 species